GAAUAUUGCGCAAUGGGGGAAACCCUGACGCAGCAACGCCGCGUGAGUGAGGAAGGGUUUCGGCUCGUAAAGCUCUGUCAGAUGGGAAGAAACUGCAGUGGUCUAAUAGGCCAUUGUACUGACGGUACCAUCAAAGGAAGCACCGGCUAACUUCGUGCCAGCAGCCGCGGUAAUACGAAGGGUGCAAGCGUUAUUCGGAUUUACUGGGCGUAAAGCGCGCGCAGGCGGAUAGAUAAGUCAGAUGUGAAAUCUCGGGGCUCAACCCCGAAACUGCGUCUGAAACUAUUUAUCUAGAGUUAUGGAGGGGGAAGUGGAAUUUCGCAUGUAGGGGUAAAAUCCGUAGAGAUGCGAAGGAACACCAGAGGCGAAGGCGACUUCCUGGCCAUUAACUGACGCUGAGGCGCGAAAGCGUGGGGAGCAAACAGG
rnacentral:rRNA from 1 species